GCCUGGGUGGCUCAGUCGGUUAAGCGUCUGACUUCAGCUCAGGUCAUGAUCUCGUGGUCCGUGAGUUCGAGCCCCGCAUCGGGCU
rnacentral:tRNA from 1 species